GUUGAACGCUGGCGGCGGGCCUAACACAUGCAAGUCGAGCGGACGAAGGGGGAUCUUGCUUGUCUUAAGUUACGGACGGACGGGUAAUGAACACGUGUCUGACCUGCCGUGGGGGCUGGGGUAACGUCAGGAAACCUAAUCUAAUACCGGAUAAGAGGGUGAAACUGGUGGAUCUUCGGUCAAAACGCUUUCUGCUGAGCCUGGGUGUGAUUAGCUAGUUGGUAGGGUAAAGGCGUACCAAGGCGACGAUCCGUAACAGACCUGCGAGGAUGAUCAGUCACACUGGAACUGAGACACGGUCCAGACUCCUACGGGAGGCAGCAGUAGGGAAUAUUGCGCAAUGGGCGAAAGCCUGAUCCAGCCAUGCCGCGUGAGUGAUGAAGGUCUUCGGAUUGUAAAACACUGUAAGUUGGGAGGAAGGACAGUAAAAUAAUACCUGACUGUUUUGACGUUACCUACACAGAAAGCACCGGCUAACUACGUG
rnacentral:rRNA from 1 species